UCACCAGGGGUCAAGUUCGAGUGAGUGCUCAUGAUCUGUCCAUACACAUAAGAGGUCCACAUGAGAGGAUGUAUCAAAACAUCACCUUAAGGUGGUUAGGCUUGUACUAUAGUGCCAACAAUAAGAACAGGUAGGCAUGGACAUGUGCGUCUCAAUCUCCUUUUGUGGAGAAUUUGUUCCUGAAUUCUGGUACUACAAAACUUAUUGAUAGAUCUUCGUGAGUUUUUAAGGUUUCUUCUAUAAAGUCCUUGAGGUUUGAAAGUCUUGGAUCCCCAUUCUUUUUAAUACGCCCUGAAGGGCCUUCUUAUUUUCAUCCAUCUUAACUAACUAGUCUGCAAGUAUUGAAGUGAUCUGACUGGUGGCAUACAAGGGCUUGGUGUGGCUGAACUUGAGGUGUGCAACUUAUUUAUGAUACUUGAAAGCUCGGCUGGCAAAGUUGCCUUAUCGGUUGGUCUCGGGGAACUGACUGGACUGGUCAUGAUAGUUGUUCGCUAAUGAAGUUAUUAGGUUGGAGUAAUUGGCUAUUGAGAAAGGCAUUCGAGGUAGGUUACUCACUAGAUGUUCGAUAUUGAUUCACAUGGCUACUAUGAUGGCUAGGAGUUCGACGAGAUUGGCUCCCAUGUCUACCAUGUAGGUCGAAGGUUCAGUUUGAGGACCUAGACCUUUAAAUUGGAUCUUGGUUGGAUGGGUCCAGGUUGAUUUGGCUUGAAAGCUAGUGCUUUGAAGUACGUGGCCAACUGGGUGCUCCACUCCUAGCAGGCGACCUAUGAUUCGAGUGACAUGACUGUGCUUGACUGCCAGAGUUAACUCAGAUGUGACCAGCUGGUUGGAUAUUGUUCGAGGGUGUGACCUCGGGUUGGGUUUCUACUAACUCCCCAAGGAUUGCUCCUAGUCUCAUUCCUUAACUAUUUAGAGUAUCUUAGACCAUGUUAAUAAGGUGGUCCAAGGUUCUCAAGUGGUAUCAUAGGGUAGUCCCGACUUGGAGACCAUGGUGUCUAAUCC
rnacentral:lncRNA from 1 species